rnacentral:tRNA from 1 species
AAAAUCCGUCGACUUUAGAAAUCGUGAGGGUUCAAGUCCCUCUAUCCCCCCAAAAAGACCGAUUUGACUAUUUCUCCUACCCUCUCUUUUUUUUAGUGGUUCCAAAUUUGUUCUCUUUCUCAUUCAUUCUACCUUUUUACAAACGUAUCAGAGCAGAAUUUUUUUCUUUUAUCACAAUCACAAGUGGUGUGGUAUAUAUGAUAUACGUACAAAUGAACAUCUUUGAACAAAGAAUCCCGAUUCACAAUUCAUAUCAUUGCUCAUACUGAAACUUAUAAAUUAUUCUAUUCAAGAAAUCUAAUUCCACGCUCAAGACUUUUAAUACUUUUUUUAUCUUUUUUAAUUGACAUAGACCCCAGUCAUCUAGUAAAAUAAGGAUGAUGCGCCGGUAAUGGUCGGGAUAGCUCAGCUGGUAGAGCAGAGG